UGACUACGCUGGCGGCAGGCUUAACACAUGCAAGUCGCAGGAGAAGGAGGCUUCGGCUCAGUGGACACUGGCGGACGGGUGAGUAACGUGUGGGGACCUACCCUGGGGUGGGGGACAACCACUGGAAACGGUGGCUAAUACCGCAUACGCCCCUUUUGUUUAGGCAUUUGGGGGAAAACUCCGGUGCCCUGGGAUGGCCCCGCGUCGGAUUAGCUAGUUGGUGGGGUAACGGCCUACCAAGGCGACGAUCCGUAGCUGGUCUGAGAGGAUGACCAGCCACACUGGAACUGAGACACGGUCCAGACUCCUACGGGAGGCAGCAGUGGGGAAUAUUGGACAAUGGGGGCAACCCUGAUCCAGCCAUGCCGCGUGUGUGAAGAAGGCCAAAAGGUUGCAAAACACUUUCAGCGGGGAAGAUGAUGACGGUACCCGCAGAAGAAGCCCCGGCUAACUCCGUGCCAGCAGCCGCGGUAAUACGGAGGGGGCUAGCGUUGUUCGGAAUUGCUGGGCGUAAAGGGCGUGUAGGCGGCCUGCCAAGUCAGAUGUGAAAGCCCCGGGCUUAACCUGGGAAGUGCAUUUGAGACUGGCCGGCUAGAGGUUGGAAGAGGAGAGUGGAAUUCCCAGUGUAGAGGUGAAAUUCGUAGAUGCAGGGAAGAACACCAGUGGCGAAGGCGGCUCUCUGGUCCACACCUGGCGCUGAGGCGCGAUCACGUGGGGAGCAAACAGGAUUAGAUACCCUGGUAGUCCACGCGCUAAACGAUGUGUGCUAGACGUCGGAUGUUACGCAUUCGGUGUCGCCGCUAACGCAUUAAGCACACCGCCUGGGGAGUACGGCCGCAAGGUUAAGACACAUAC
rnacentral:rRNA from 1 species